GCCCUGAUGGCACAAUGGUUAAGUGUUCAGCUUCUAACUGAUAGAUUGGUGGUUCAAACCCACCCAGGAGCA
rnacentral:tRNA from 1 species